rnacentral:rRNA from 1 species
AAAAAGCCUCUAGUGAGUGUUGUGGCGGCCCGUACCCUAAACCGACUCAGGUGGUCAGGUAGAGAAUACCAAGGCGAUCGGGUGAACUGUGGUUAAGGAACUCGGCAAAUUGCCCCCGUAACUUCGGGAGAAGGGGGACCUCUGCUGGUGAUGGGCUUUACGUUCUGAGCUGGUGGGGGUCGCAGUGGCCAGGGGGAAGCGACUGUUUACUAAAAACACAGGUCCGUGCGAAGUCGUAAGACGAUGUAUACGGACUGACGCCUGCCCGGUGCCGGAACGUUAAGGGGACCGCUUAGCCAACGCGAGUUGGCGAAGGUGAGAACUUAAGCGCCGGUAAACGGCGGUGGUAACUAUAACCAUCCUAAGGUAGCGAAAUUCCUUGUCGGGUAAGUUCCGACCUGCACGAAUGGCGUAACGACUUCCCCGCUGUCUCAACCACAGACCCGGCGAAAUUGCACUACGAGUAAAGAUGCUCGUUUCGCGCAGCAGGACGGAAAGACCCCGGGACCUUCACUACAGCUUGACAUUGGCGUUUGGAACGUCUUGUGUAGGAUAGGUGGGAGACUGGGAAGCUGUCACGCUAGUGAUGGUGGAGUCAUUGGUGAAAUACCACUCUGGUCGUUUUGAACGUCUAACUCUGGUCCGUGAUCCGGAUCGGGGACAGUGUCUGGUGGGUAGUUUAACUGGGGCGGUUGCCUCCUAAAGAGUAACGGAGGCGCCCAAAGGUUCCCUCAGCCUGGUUGGCAAUCAGGUGUUGAGUGUAAGUGCACAAGGGAGCUUGACUGUGAGACUGACAGGUCGAGCAGGAGCGAAAGCUGGGACUAGUGAUCCGGCAUCGGCGUGUGGAAGCGGUGUCGCUCAACGGCUAAAAGGUACCCCGGGGAUAACAGGCUGGUCUUCCCCAAGAGUCCAUAUCGACGGGAUGGUUUGGCACCUCGAUGUCGGCUCGUCGCAUCCUGGGGCUGGAGUAGGUCCCAAGGGUUGGGCUGUUCGCCCAUUAAAGCGGUACGCGAGCUGGGUUUAGAACGUCGCGAGACAGUUCGGUCCCUAUCCGCUGCGCGCGCAGGAGACUUGAAGGGGGCUGUCCCUAGUACGAGAGGACCGGGACGGACGAACCUCUGGUGUGCCAGUUGUACCGCCAGGUGCACGGCUGGUUGGCUACGUUCGGAAGGGAUAACCGCUGAAAGCAUCUAAGCGGGAAGCUCGCCUUGAGAUGAGGUCUCCCACCCCGUGAGGGGGUAAGGCUCCCGGUAGAUCACCGGGUUGAUAGGCCGGAGGUGGAAGCACGGUAACGUGUGGAGCUGACCGGUACUAAUAGGCCGAGGACUUGACCAC